GUGGGCACUGCGGCGGCGACGGUGGCGACGGCCGCGGCCUUGGCUCCGGCCAUGGCAGCCUCUGCAGUUACCAAUCAACACAGGCGUGUUAGUUUGGGUCUAGUUCCAGGCUUUCAGUAGACAGGACUGCACAUAACUGCAAUGCACUCCUAGAAUAGAACGGCGAGAGCAUUGCCGGCACAGUGAACCGGCGGGGCAUCAUAUCGUUUUGGUUACCUCUGGAGCAGCGCUUGGCUGCGGCGAGCCUCUGGUCGAGGUAGGCGCCGGUCACCGUAGACAUCUUCGCCGGAGCAAAGCUUGGUGGCAGGAGACCCGAAGGAAGUGAACUACUCGUGACUUCUUAGGCCCUGUUUUGUUACAAAUAAGUCACCAACUUAUAAGUUAAAAAUGCAAAAAAUGACUUAUUUUGCCAAAAGGGCCUAACUUAUAAGUCACCCUAACUUAUAAGUCAUAAGUUGCGAUACCCUAGCUUAAAACUUAUAAGUCACUUACUUUUUGAUGGGUCCCACCACCUUUUCAGCCGUGCCCACCGCCCACCCGUGCCCACCGCCCCAUCCGCUCCCCACCGCGUAGCGCGCCUCGCCGCCGCUCCCACCGCGCAGCGCGCCUUGCCGCCGCCGAGCUCCA
rnacentral:lncRNA from 1 species